ensembl:lncRNA
UGAGAGAAAAAUAUAAAACAUUAUCUUGUCAUUAAAUAAGUUAAUAUUUAAACUGAUAGAUGAUAUGCAUAAAUAAGAAUAUGUGAGCAUUGUUUGAGGAGUCCAGGGGAGGAAGAGAUCUGGGGUUUGUGGUAAUACGGUAAGCUUCAAGUGAGACAUGGGACUUGGUCUGAUUGGCAAAGGGUGGGUAGCAUUUAGGCCAAAGUAGAGAAAACAUGAGGAAUCCCAGGAUGGAGAGUAGCAUGAGCUAAGUGAGAAGAUAUAGCCUGAGGACAGUGAAUAGAUUAGUUUCGUUGGGGAAGAAUGACGGGGAUAGAGAUAGCUGCGGGCUGCAAGGCAUAUCCUGAAUCAGUCAGAUGCCUAUAAUUACCACAUGGGACCCAGAGGUCUCCAAGGCCUCAUCUGAUAAUAGUUCUCCCUUCAUUGCUCUAAGAAGACUUUGGUAAUGCCCAUGGGGCAGAGCUGGUGCACUCAGCCUUGGGGUCAGGAGAUGGUUUGAUAGUAUACCAUCUCCCUCCUGAGAUGAUUAGGGUGAGAAAUGGAGUGCAGUGGGAGGGUGCUUAUGUGUCUUGUUAUGUGUCUUGCUUAUGGAAGGAACCCUAUGCAAUCAUGAGUUCUCCAGGAUAAGUGUUCUGAUCUGAGCCCUCCAUCCUACAGAUGAAGUUGGGGUAAAAAAAGGAAUGUUUCUUCCUCAGACACCUCUAGAUGCUACCAGUCUCAAGUGUGCCUCACAUUACCUUGGAAUCCAAAGAAAUGAGGAAAAUAAAUGCAGUGGUUUGCUUUCCUAGAACUCUGGGUGAGUACUAACUGAGAUACUCUAGCUUUACAGUUUAUAAAUAUCAACUUAUAAUAUCAAUAACUCAUAUAAUAUAAUGAGUUGGCUUAAAAUAAUCUAUAAUAUCAAUAGUUCCAGUAUGCAAAGUAAAUUGUGUACAUCAGAGCCAGGAGACAAAGAAUAGAGGCACAUUCAGAGCUGUUGAAGAUAAAUUAAGGAAGACUUCUUCGAGGAGUAGACAACAGGAGGGAAUACCUCCUAUUUGGAGACAAUGUUCUGUGUGGGGAGACAGAUUAAAACAAGAAAUUUUUCUACUUGGAACUUUGAAUGUCAGUUAGUCAGACUGGACUUUAAUUGUAGUUCUCUGAUAUUAUAAUAGAAAACAUUUGUGGCUUCAUAUUGAGCAUUUAAUAAGAGUCCUGAAGAUGACCCUUAUUGGGUUGAAUGGGAUGGUAUAUUGUGUGUGAGAGUAAUGGGGUCAGGGGUUGAGUGUGUGAAGGAAAAGACUGUGGGAUGGAGAAUGGGUAAAAAAGAUGUUUUUGUGUCUAGUAAGUUCUAAUAGUUUAAUCUAAAAAUAAAUGAGAGAUACAUAUACAGGCGUAAUAGGAAGAAAUGAAAUUAGAACCACAUUUAAGGGUGGAUAUUCCAACAUUCAAGCUUAUUAGGAAGGAGGAUCUCUUUCUUUGCUCAGAGUAGUAGAUUAAAUCUUCUGGCUUGAAUGUGGCUUCACUAGAAUCAACAUAGUGAAGUUAAUGUACUGGCAUGAAGGGUGGAGUACUACAUGCAAUUAAAAAAAAUCUUCAAAUGUGAUUUCUGUUUUCAAGAAUUUUAUUAUUUAUGGAGAUAAUGAACACACACAGAUCCAUCCAUAAACACAUAGACAAAAACACACGGAGAGAUGAACACAAAUUUUUAUUUUUGAAAUGUAGACAUUCAACAGUCUCAAACAUACAGACAUCAAAAUGCUUUGUGUGUGCCCAGGGGAUUAAGAGUAAGACUAAAUGUUAAAUUUGAAAACAUACUUAAUAUUAUAAAAUACAGAUCAUAAGCAGCUCAAAACUAUCUAACCCAAUGUUCCAGCUAACACAAAAAUAUUUUUACAAUAUCCUUAAAGGUCAGCUUUCAGCCUCUGAACUAGCAGGAAGUUUUGAAGUGAUGAGAAUAUCAUUACAUUUCCAGGCAGUGUAUUUUUGUAGUGCUCCUUUUUUUUGAAGUUUUCUUUUUAUUGAGCCAUGAUCUGUCCCCUUGUAAGCUCCACCAUUGGUCCUAGUUUUGCUUUUGGAGGGAUACAAAGCAAGUUCAAUACUUUUUCUAUAUGACAGAUCUUUGAACAUGUAUGUAAGUUAUCAUGAUGGCCUUUAAGUGUAUUCUUUUCUAGUCUAAAAACUCAAUUAAAAACAUCUGUUUCUCAUGCAGGAUGUUUCUGGAUGUCUUAUUGGUUUUCCUGCCAUUUGGGUCCUAUGUAUUUUGUCAGAACAGAUGCUGACUCACAGACAUUGAAAAACUUAUGGUCUCUGGAGGAGACAGUUUGGGGGGUGGGGGGAUGUGCCUGGGCUGUGGGGUGGAAAUCCUGUGAAAUCAGAUUGUUAUGAUCAUUAUACAACUACAGAUGUGAUAAAUUCGAAUAAUAAAAAAUUUUUAAAAAUAAAAAGGACUAUGAAAAUGUCUAUUCAGGGCAUUUGCCCAUUUUUCCAUUGGGUUGUUGGCUUUUUUGCUGUUGAGUUGUAUAAAUUGUCUGCAUAUUUUAGAGAUUAAGCCCUUGUCAGUUGCAUCGCUUGAAAUGAUUUUCUCCCAUUUGGUAAGUUGUCUUUUUGUUUUCUUUUUGGUAUCCUUUGCUGUGCAAAACUUGUCAAUUUGAUUAGGUCCCAAUGUUUCUUGUUUUGUUUUGUUUUGUGCUUUUACUUCCGUUGCUUUGGGAGACUGACCUGAGAAAACAAUUGUAAGUUUGAUGUCAGAGAAUGUUUUGCCUAUGUUCUCUUCAAGGAGUUUGAUGGUGUCUUGUCUUAUAUUUAAGUCUUUAAGCCACUUUGAGUUUAUUUUUGUGCAUGGUGUGUAAAUUUUUAAAAACAGAAAUUAUUUCAAACAUUUUCUCCAACCACAAUGCUAUGAAACUGGAAAUAAACUACAAUGAAAAAAAAGCAAAAAUACACACAAACUCCUGAAAAUCUAAACAAUAUGCUACUAAACAACCAAUGAAUCAUGAAGAAAUCAAAGAGGAAAUCAAAAGAUACAUAGAGACAAAUGACAAUGAAGAUACAAAAAUCCAAAACCUAUGUGAAGAUACAAAAAUCCAAAACCUAUGCAACACAGCAAAAGCAGUUCUGAGAGGGAAGUUUAUUGCAAUACAAUCUUAUCUCAGGAAAGAAGAAAAAACUCGAAUUAACAACCUAGCAUUUCACCUUAAACACCUAGAGAAAAAGAACAGACAAAGGCCAAAAUUAGUAGAAGGAAAUAAAUCAUAAGGAUUAGAGAAGAAAUUAAUAACAGAAACAAAGAAAACAAUUGAGAAGAUCAAUGAAACUAAAAGUUGCUUCUUUGGAAAGAUAAAAAAAUUGAUAAACUGUUAGCCAGACUCAUAAAAAAUGGAGAGGGUUCAAAUCAAUAGAAAUGAAAAAGGAUAAGUUAUGACAGACACCAUGGAAAUACAGAGGAUCAUGAGACAUUACAAUAGUAUGCCAAUAAAAUGGACAACCUAGAAGAAGUGGACAGAUUAUUACAAAUGUAUAACCUACCAAGGCUGAACCAGAGAGAAAUAGAAAAUAUGAAUAGAACAAUCACAAGUGCUAAAAUUGAAAAUGUGAUUUAAAAACUUCCAAAAAGAAAAAGUCCAGGACCUGAUGGUUUUUCAGCUGUGUUCUAUCAAAUAUUCAGAGAAGAAUUAAUACCUAUUUUUCUGAAACUUUUCCAGAAAACCAUUUGAGCUCAUCAAUGAAUUUGGUAAUAUUUCAGGAUACAAAUCAAUACAUAGAAACAGAUUUCAUUUUAUAUACUAAUAAUGAAAGAUCAUAAAGUGAAAAUGGAGAAACCAUCCAUUUACCAUCACAUCAAAAAUAAUAAAAUACCUAGAAAUAAACCUUCCUAAAGAGACAAAAGGCCUAUACUCUGAAAAUGAUAAGACACUGAUGAAAGAAAUCAGGAUGACAAAAACAGAUGGAAAGAUAUACAGUGGGUUUGGAUUGGAAGAAUUAAUAUAGUCAAAAUGACAAUACCGCCUAAGUCAAUCUACAGAUUUGAUGCAAUCUCUAUCAAAUUACCAAUGACUUUCUUUACAGAACACAAACAAAAUAUUUUAAAAUUUGUAUGGAAACACAAAAGACCUUGAAUAGCCAAACAAUAU